rnacentral:rRNA from 1 species
GACGAACGCUGGCGGCGUGCUUAACACAUGCAAGUCGAACGGAAAGGCCCUGCUUUUGUGGGGUGCUCGAGUGGCGAACGGGUGAGUAACACGUGAGUAACCUGCCCUUGACUUUGGGAUAACUUCAGGAAACUGGGGCUAAUACCGGAUAGGAGCUCCUGCUGCAUGGUGGGGGUUGGAAAGUUUCGGCGGUUGGGGAUGGACUCGCGGCUUAUCAGCUUGUUGGUGGGGUAGUGGCUUACCAAGGCUUUGACGGGUAGCCGGCCUGAGAGGGUGACCGGCCACAUUGGGACUGAGAUACGGCCCAGACUCCUACGGGAGGCAGCAGUGGGGAAUAUUGCACAAUGGGCGGAAGCCUGAUGCAGCAACGCCGCGUGCGGGAUGACGGCCUUCGGGUUGUAAACCGCUUUCGCCUGUGACGAAGCGUGAGUGACGGUAGUGGGUAAAGAAGCACCGGCUAACUACGU